rnacentral:rRNA from 1 species
UACGUAGGGUCCGAGCGUUAAUCGGAAUUACUGGGCGUAAAGCGUGCGCAGGCGGUUUUGUAAGCCAGAUGUGAAAUCCCCGGGCUUAACUUGGGAACUGCAUUUGGGACUGCAAGGCUGGAGUACGGCAGAGGGAGGUGGAAUUCCACGUGUAGCAGUGAAAUGCGUAGAGAUGUGGAGGAAUACCGAUGGCGAAGGCAGCCCCCUGGGAUAACACUGACGCUCAUGCACGAAAGCGUGGGGAGCAAACAGG